CACUUUGUGGCAUAGUGGUUUGAGGGUUGGACUACAAAUCUGGAAACCAGGGUUCGAUUCCCAGCUCAGCCA